rnacentral:rRNA from 1 species
GAAGCAGCCAUCAUUUAAAGAAAGCGUAAUAGCUCACUGGUCGAGUCGGCCUGCGCGGAAGAUGUAACGGGGCUAAACCAUGCACCGAAGCUGCGGCAGCGACACUAUGUGUUGUUGGGUAGGGGAGCGUUCUGUAAGCCUGCGAAGGUGUACUGUGAGGUAUGCUGGAGGUAUCAGAAGUGCGAAUGCUGACAUAAGUAACGAUAAAGCGGGUGAAAAGCCCGCUCGCCGGAAGACCAAGGGUUCCUGUCCAACGUUAAUCGGGGCAGGGUGAGUCGACCCCUAAGGCGAGGCCGAAAGGCGUAGUCGAUGGGAAACAGGUUAAUAUUCCUGUACUUGGUGUUACUGCGAAGGGGGGACGGAGAAGGCUAUGUUGGCCGGGCGACGGUUGUCCCGGUUUAAGCGUGUAGGCUGGUUUUCCAGGCAAAUCCGGAAAAUCAAGGCUGAGGCGUGAUGACGAGGCACUACGGUGCUGAAGCAACAAAUGCCCUGCUUCCAGGAAAAGCCUCUAAGCAUCAGGUAACAUCAAAUCGUACCCCAAACCGACACAGGUGGUCAGGUAGAGAAUACCAAGGCGCUUGAGAGAACUCGGGUGAAGGAACUAGGCAAAAUGGUGCCGUAACU